rnacentral:rRNA from 1 species
AACGAACGCUGGCGGCGUGCCUAACACAUGCAAGUCGUGCGAGAAAGUUCCUUCGGGAGCGAGUAAAGCGGCGCACGGGUGAGUAACACGUAGGUAACCUGCCCCCCAGUCUGGAACAACUAGAGGAAACUCUAGCUAAUGCCGGAUGAGACCACGAUCCCUUCGGGGGUUGCGGCCAAAGAUGGCCUCUACUUGUAAGCUAUCGCUGAGGGAUGGGCCUGCGGGCCAUUAGCUUGUUGGUGAGGUAACGGCUCACCAAGGCUGUGAUGGCUAGCUGGUCUGAGAGGAUGACCAGCCACACUGGGACUGAGACACGGCCCAGACUCCUACGGGAGGCAGCAGUGGGGAAUAUUGCGCAAUGGGCGAAAGCCUGACGCAGCGACGCCGCGUGGGUGGAUGAAGGCCUCGGUCGUAAGACCUCGUCGUCGACGGGAAGGAAAGUAAGAC